UUCCCUGGUGGGAAGAGACCCCGUCCAGACUCUCUUCCUGUCAGAUCCAGAUGGGGCAGCUGCUGACCGGGGUGAGGAGUGACGUUUCCUCUGGGCAGCAGGGUGCCCGUGUGACACGGGGUGGACGGCGGCCCGUGACGGAUCGUGGAUGGGGCUUCUGUCAAACCCUUUUGUGAGCUGGAUGAGCCCUUCUCGCUGUCCCAUCCUUCCCGCCCAGAUGCAGACGUGCUGGCAGGGUCCCCGUCCCCGGCGCUCUCCACACUAACACCUGGUGCUUCCAGUCGGGUGGACGUGCCCGGCCUUGCUGUGUUUCCAUUUUUAAUUCUUUGAUCCCUGUGAGACGGUGGUGUCUGUUCUGGUCUCUUUUGACUCUUUGUAGCCUUUUUCUUUUCUUUUCUUUUCUUUUUUUUUUUGUUGUUGAUUUGUAGAAGUUCUUUACAUAGUGUGGAUAUGAACCUUUUGCCCAUUAUAAGCAUUGCCUGAACCCUCUGCCUCGCAAUGGCUACUCUUUUCACUUUUUCCAGUGGCAUCUUCUGUGAUAUAGUUACACAUCUCUGUCCUGUCUGUGCUUUCUGUGAUGACUGAAUACAGCUUCUCUCAGCCUCGUGAAGAUAUUCUCCUAGGUUUUAUUUUAAAACUAUGUGGAUUCUCUGUGCCUAUUUAAGUGUUGGAGUCAUUGGGAAUUUCUCUCUUUGGUAGGUGUAGAGACGGGAUCUGAUUUUACCUUGUUUUUCUUUGUAACGUGGAUGGUCCCAGACCUACGUAUUGAGCGAUGCUCCUUUGUUCUUUUUUUUCCGACCGACGUGUCCUUAUGUGUCAUUUCCAUUAAAUCUGAGCUCUCUGACGUCAUGCUCUCCCUGCAGGAACACAGGUGACUGACCACAGUGGUGGCCUGGCGGGGCUUUAUCUCUGGGUGGCCCUGCGGGGCCCCUCACUCUCCCUCCCCCCUCCUUUGUCCUUCUUUGGGACCGUCUUCUGUUCUUAGCACGUUAAUCGUCCCCAUAAAUUUUAGGGCCAUCUUGUCAAGUUUUAUGACACCACCUACUGGGGUUUUAUUAGAUUUGCCUUGAGUUCAUAAAGGGGCAGGCGGGAGCAGACCGCAGCCUGACCGGAAGCGCUGGUGCUGUCUCUCGGUGAUUGAUAGGAAGGGGACAAAAC
rnacentral:lncRNA from 1 species